UUGUGAGCCGUCCGAUCUGUGUCCUGAGAUUCGUCUAAUCUCUCGCUAGCACACGGCUGGCUUACCGGGCGCGCUCAAUUUCCGGGGGAGACCCGUUCUCGCUCGCGACCCGUGUCUGUUUUUUUUUUUUGAAUUUUUUCAUUUCGCCCCCGUAGCUGCCAGGUUCCCUUCCCCUUCCUCUCGUUCCCUUGUCAUUCCCAGCACGCAACCAGAACAGAGUCCAGAGAGAGAUUCAUGGCGACCCGGUGGUUCCCUAUCCGCUCGAUUCGCUAGGGUGUGGUCAGGCGUCCGGCGUUCGCCCUCCGGCUGCUUCGCUCCCGUCCGGCCGCCAACCCCCUCCUGCUCCCCCGCUGUCCGCGCCGUUGGUCUGCAGCAUCUCUCGACCGCCGCACCCACCCACGGCCUCUAUUUCUACCCCGGCGACUUCGCUAGUCUUCGUGAUUCGGGGAUUUCUUCACUCUAAUUCUCAGUGGGUUUCCACUAUAAUUCCACUUAUUAGCUGUAAUUCCAAUUGGAUUUACAGUGUAAAUCAAGUUGCACUGAUAUUGUCAGUGGGUUUAGUGUAAUUGACGUUUUUUUUUCCAGUGUAUUUACAAGGAAGGUCAGAGUAAUUUACGACCAAGUUGUAAUGUGACAAAAUAUCGCAGUAAUCUCUCAAGAUAUGUUGAUUUCUGUAUUUUUUUAGUUUACUGGGGUCAAAUAGCAAGAGAAUUAAGUUGGUCAUUUUGGCUUCAUCUUACAUGAAGGAGUGCAUCUUCAUCUUGCUGACUCUGUGAAGUAGGAGAGGGAACUGUUCACAGGGAGGUAGAGAAGAUUGACAGGAGAGGAUCUCUUACAUGUGCAUCCAUGAUUUUCUCAAGGUUUGCCCUCUGGAUAUUGGAGGAAUCCCCCCUGUGAUUUCUUCUUUGAUGGGGUGGACAAGCACAUCGACACAUUCAGGGGACAGGAAUAAAACGGAGGACAUGUGACACUUGUUAAACUCUGUGUUGCCAAAAAAUAUGACUGAAAACUAAUUGGAUUUCAGAAGAGGAUUUUUGCAGUGUCACUUUAAUGCAUCUUUCACUAUAAUUCUCAGUGGGCAUGAUAGAAAUUACUGUGUUUUUUAGUGAAUUUUACACUGUAUUUGUCAAUGUGUUUUUAGGUGACAUCAUCUUGGUGUUUUUCCUCCCUUUGUUAGCCUAGUGAUCACGGAAAAGCUUUGGGUGUAUCGUUGUGGUUCUUUCAA